UAAAAGGAUUUAAUCCUUUACCUCUCAAUGAAAAAUUAGAGAAAAAAAUAAAAAUUCUCGUGAUUUCUAUCCACCGACUUUACAUUUUAGCCAUCCAGCGAUCCUGAUCUAUUUGAAACUAGCUUGAAUUCAUUUACCCAUAGAUCCUCCCUUUGGCAGCAUCCACUAAUUCGGAACUUAAUUUGAAAGCCAUAUUUCGACCCGGACGUUUUCGGGAUGCCGCUAAUAACCAACGAAUGGCAAGUGCUUAAUCGGACGAGAAUAAAGAUAGAGUCCCAUUCUACAUGUCAAUACCGG
rnacentral:sRNA from 1 species